rnacentral:sRNA from 2 species
GGAAAUCGAAUCCUUGGAACAUUUUCAAAGUGUUUUGCGCUCCCCUCAUGUUCCUGACAGUUUUGGCAUAUCCCUCGUGAUCCCCUCGCCUCAGAAGAGGAUAUUCGGGGUAAAUUCCCCGGCAACUCUAACAUCGGAUUCUCAAUCUUGAAAAUUCUGAUCUUCCAAGUGCUCGGGAGCCGUCUUGUCCAAGUACGGUUCCCCGAAACGGUUGGGAUUCAAACCUUCGGAGGGAAGUAGCGGGAACCGAGAUGGGAAAAGCGUAUUAUUGUUCAGGGUGGGUCAUUGAAUGGUUCGUGUGGCUGUUGAUUCCGGGAUCUCAAAAAAAUACGACGGACCGCAUCCUUGGGCUCGCAACAUCGAUACAUGACCCCGCUCAUCGGAGGCAGAAUUCGACCCGGAAUUCAAUUUGAAAAAGAAAGAAGAA